CCUAUGGGGUGCAGCAGGCGCGAAACCUCCGCAAUGCGAGCAAUCGCGACGGGGGGACCCCAAGUGCCACUCUUAACGGGGUGGCUUUUCAUAAGUGUAAAAAGCUUUUGGAAUAAGAGCUGGGCAAGACCGGUGCCAGCCGCCGCGGUAACACUGGCAGCUCAAGUGGUGGCCGUUUUUAUUGGGCCUAAAGCGUUCGUAGCCGGUUUGAUAAGUCUCUGGUGAAAUCCUACAGCUUAACUGUGGGAAUUGCUGGAGAUACUAUCAGACUUGAGGUCGGGAGAGGUUAGAGGAACUCCCAGGGUAGGGGUGAAAUCCUAUAAUCCUGGGAGGACCACCUGUGGCGAAGGCGUCUAACUGGAACGAACCUGACGGUGAGUAACGAAAGCCAGGGGCGCGAACCGGAUUAGAUACCCCUGUAGUCC
rnacentral:rRNA from 1 species